rnacentral:tRNA from 1 species
GCCUGGGUGGCUAAGUUGGUUAAGCGUCCGGCUUUGGCUCAGGUCAUGAUCUCACAGUUCGUGGGUUCGAGCCCCAUGUCAGGCU